UACGAAGGGGGCUAGCGUUGCUCGGAAUCACUGGGCGUAAAGGGCGCGUAGGCGGCCAUUCAAGUCGGGGGGUGAAAGCCUGUGGCUCAACCACAGAAUUGCCUUCGAUACUGUUUGGCUUGAGUUUGGUAGAGGUUGGUGAACUGCGAGUGUAGAGGUGAAAUUCGUAGAUAUUCGCAAGAACACCAGUGGCGAAGGCGGCCACUCGAGCCAGUACUGACGCUGAGGCGCGAAAGCGUGGGGAGCAAACAGG
rnacentral:rRNA from 1 species